rnacentral:tRNA from 1 species
ACCUAGGUGGCUCAGUGUGUUGAGCACCUGACUCUUGAUUUUCACUCAGGUUAUAAUCCCAGGGUCGUGGGAUCGAGCCCUGCACUAGGUU